UACGUAGGGUGCGAGCGUUAAUCGGAAUUACUGGGCGUAAAGCGUGCGCAGGCGGUUCGUUAAGUCUGAUGUGAAAGCCCCGGGCUCAACCUGGGAAUGGCAUUGGAAACUAGCGAGCUCGAGUGUGGCAGAGGGGGGUGGAAUUCCCAGUGUAGAGGUGAAAUUCGUAGAUAUUGGGAAGAACACCGGUGGCGAAGGCGGCUCACUGGCUCAUUACUGACGCUCAGGCGCGAUAGCGUGGGGAUCAAACAGG
rnacentral:rRNA from 1 species